UUGUCUAGUAGUAGGGGGUGCUAGUUCUCGAGUUACUGAAGCUUACUACGGAGUUCCUUUCCUGUCUGAACGUUAGGAGUUCUUCUCAGAGAAUCUCUCCCGCAACAAACAAAAAGAAGCUGCACCAUGUUAGAUAAGAGACGAAAAUCAAAGAAUAUCAGCAGCCUAACCAUAGACUAAAGUACUCUAAACCGCGCCCUACCCAAUGGAAUGAAAUUGAAAAGAAGAUAUCUCGCGCAAAGUUCGAAAAUAAUCUCUAUCACAACACAACUAAGAUAAUGAAGUAGUAAACAACACUGCAUAGCUCUUUUGCUUAAAAACUCACUCCUGACUCUUUGAUUUAAGAACUUAGAUAGAAGCAGUAAACUUGAAGGAAGGACUUUGCUAGGCACCUUGAAACAACAAACUGCCUUAUCGCCUAGCUUUUGAUUGUGGACUUGCCCGAAACUUAUUCAUUUUGUACACCUAGCAAGGACGACGGUUACUACCCCUCCUUACGUAGGCAAUGAGAACGAAACGGAUUUCGCACCCCGAGUUGCUUUAAGAGGAGAAGUCACAUAUGCUAUAGGAAGAGGAGAAGUCACAUAUGCUCUUCUAUAGGGGCACUAGAGACUUAGUUAACUCAAACAUUGCAUAGGAGCACCCCUACGAAAUAAGUAUGAUAAUGUGAUGAUAGAUCGUGACCUGCCCCUAGAUUCUUAUUCCUCUGUGAAAAAGAAAGGUGCUGAAAGCCUGUUAGGUGUAAGGAAAGGAGACUAUAUUGCAAGGAAAGUGGAUAGAGAAACAAGGAAAGGAACCGUAAACUAGUAAACAUAGGACUUGGUCAUAACUACAACAAACAUGUUCAUGGAGUUCCUGACUCUCUAUGCCUUCGGGUGCUCGGAAAGGCACGUAAGAGAAGAAGAGUGAUGUUUACUGAACGCCAGGUAAGAGAAGAAGAGUGAUGUUUACUGAACGCCAGAACAAGAGCUAUAAAGUUCAAUGAAAGGGUACCCACUUUUUGAGACAGCUUUGUGCUCUAAUGACUUCUUAGAAACAACCCCUCAAAAUAGAAGAAAACGACUCUUAUGAAAUAGAAAGAAACAUAUGGAUAAAUAUAAGUAAAUAAACUAAGUAGCAUCACGCAAAGAAUAAGAGCAAGGAUCCAUUAUUGUUAGAAGUAGUUCGAGCCUUGUUUUCAGUAAUUCCAUUCAAAUAAGUAGUUAAAAACAAGCAGGUAGGGAGAUAUGGGCUGAUCUCUCUUAUAAUUACAGAAUUGAGGGCGGGAUGAUAAGAAUUUGAUAAGUGACUACUUGGCGUUAAGGCGGGAAAGGAAUACGCGAUGGGGCGGCCCCGGACGACAAGUGAGAUUUACUACCAGGGGCAGGGGAGUUGGGCUUGGCCCGUUGCUUGUCGAGUUGUUCUCUGAUUUGACUCAUAUUCUAAUUAUAUGCGCUACAGCGUACCCAUAUUAUUGAUAUUCCUAUUAGUAGAUUAGGACAGGAUCGAACAAGAGCGAACUAGCAUUUCUUUUUGUAUAAUAAGCUUGCCCGACCCUAAAUCCCGACCUUCCUCUUUAAGCUAACCAACCUAUUCUCUCGGGGUCCCGAUCCACCUCUGAAUUAUGUCUUAAAUAAAUAAAGAUGAUGUCUUCUUUUUGGGAGCUUAAACAGUGUUCGCCCUAAUGGAUUAGUUUGUUCCCUUGCUUUAUACUGCACUUAUUCACUUACCGCUUCAGCUUGUCUGAUUCCGCCCCUCAUGAACCCAGCUUUCCAGUCAGUCCAUUCUCGUUUGCCAAUCGUUUGAGUUUAGUAUCUAUGUUUGUAAUAUUACCAAAUACAUUCUAUUCUCUACCUUAUAGCAGCUGACACUGAUGAACUUGGCGCUCGUAAUUGCUUACUUUUUCACAGCUUCCAUACUUAUGCUUUUCAAGAAAGGAGAAAGCUCGAACUCUAUUAAGCGUGACGAUAAUUCGAAACUCGCAUGAAUGGUAAGGAUCUUGUGUGCAGAAGCCAGACAAAUAGCUUCAUUGCUCAAGUGGAGAUGUCAAAUAUAUAGAAGUCUCCUAAUCUCAAGGUAUGUUGGGAGUUUUGUUGUGAUUGAAGGUCGGAUACAGAUCCUAUUCCAAAGCCCAAACAGUGGGCCAUAGCAAUCGCCGUGAACUGGGAAGAGCCGCCGAAAACAGCCAUCACGAGAACUAUCAAGGGCUUUGAUAAGAAAGAGUUGUUGAAUAUGUCCCGCUUAGUUAACACAAAGUUCGUUCUGAUGAGUAAUAGGGGAAAGAAUCCAACUUAUUUACCGAUAACUGAAGUGAACCAACCCAGACAUAGAAUAUUCCUUGACCAAUGGAAGAAGGCCCCAAUGGAGGAUGGUUUGAAGCGAAGAGACAGAUAGCGCAUUAUUUAGUUGGUACAGCAAAAGGAUGUCAUCGAAAAUCCGAUUCAUUCCAGUAUCCUUCCUUCAACGUGUCAUUGGCUCAAGAGACGCUCCCAUCAAAGUGGACUCAAAAUCUCAUUUGUCAAGCCUUGGUUUUUUCAUUGUCUUUCAUACUGAUCUUAAUAUUGAAUAAUUCCAUGCUUAGUUGUGUUUGGAAGGGGAAUUGUCCACAUGACUAAUCUGAGCUCUCAUCGUUUGCUCUCUUCUACUCAAUGGACUUACCCGAACGGAUUGAAGAAGGAUUCCAUAUUAUUUCUCUAUCUCUGGGCUUGGACUCGAGCCCUCUCUCUGAAACAAGUCUUUCUUUAUGAAUGAAUCCGCGAGGUAGCUCUAUCAGAACUGACUUGGCAUUUGAGCGACAGAAUCACGAGAUGCUCAAUUGGGUUUUGAGAUUCAAAGGAGUAAUCCGUUUUCUAUGAACCGCUCCUACAUCUAAAGCUGUUCCGUUGCGCAUCCGCUGCUCUUAGGAAUAAUUAAUAUACUGCCCCGAUACUAGCUUGACUUCCGUAUCUGUCUCUGGCUAUUACAUGUGUUUUUCUCUAGUUUGAGUAUAGUUAAAGCCGAUAUUCUCACUAAAUAAAUACUAAGUAGGGCAGAGGUAAAUAAUAGAGUGAAUCAAAGUUGUAUAACCGUUUUUAUGGAGGCUAGAGUGUCCAAAGUUGACCAUUUCACGGACUCGACUGAUCUGACACUCUAUCUUUCAUAGGACUAUAGAUCAGAGCCCCUCUGCUCUUCGCGAUGGACGCAAGGUCGGAUUGAUUGGCUAGAAGAUAUACAUGUAAUCUAAGAAGACUUACAAAGCUUCAAUUUCCACGCAAGGAGAGGACAGUGCUCCAAAAUGAUAUGUUGUUGUUCGAUAUCAAGGAAAAGCGAUUCCGGGGGGGCCUCCAUUGGAUGAUGAAGAAAAGGUCAAUAUCUCUGGCUUUUCUAUUUGAGUCUAAAUCGUAGAGGAUCCCAAGACUUUGAAAUAAGAAAUAGAUUCCAUAACUAAGCGGAUCAAAGAGAAACAGUCAGGUAAGGGUCAUUGCUGUGUUCCUGCUAUAAUUUGAUCAAAGGAAUGAAAGAAAAGCGUGCUCGCUCUUUAAGUUUCGAGAAGUAAGAUCCUAAUAAUAGAACAGAAAACCAGAGAUAGAAAACCAAAGGUAAUAAGUUCCUAGUGGACAAAGAGAUUAGUUUGAUUAUUGGGUGACUGAUUUGGUGAGCCAGUUAUCACAGUGCAGACAGUGACGGGAUUGCUUUCACUCCGGAUUUUCUCAAAGAAGCAAUUAUAUGAAUUCCUGCAGUCCAAAGAAAGAAAAAGUUAUUCCUCGUAAAGAAUUAUGAUAAGAAUCCCCCCGAACUUAAUCUUAGCACAAGAAACUGCGUACUGAAGGAAUAUGGAGUUUGACACGGUCCGCUCAUUUCUAUAAAAUAAACGAGAUGGGAGUCGCCUAUCCAUUCAAAUCCUUUUCUGACGCUUGAUCGAGUAAAGCAAAAGCCCCGAGCGGUGGGGAGACGACAUGAAGCUUCCUCUUCCACUUGGUCCGAAGCGAAGACCUAUCGAUAUCUCGUCGAUGACUUUUCCCUUAUUUCAUGGGCUGCAGAAUGCUUGGAAUGUUUUUAGGGGGCUUAUCUUUACCUAUAGUUUGAGGGAAUAAUGGAUCUUAACAUUGUUGGAGGGAAUGGAGUGAGCCGAACGGAAUGACCGAGUCAGUAAAAGCGGUUUGUGAAAUAAUCCCCUUUUUUCUUGGCUCUAUAGGGACUCUCCAAAGCACUCUUUCUUAGCUCUAUAGGGACUCUCCAGAGCACUCCUAAUUCCAGUCUCGUGGUAUAUAUCCGAAAGCAAAAGCAUAAGAAAGCGGGGCGGGCAGUACUUCUAUGAAAACAAAGGAAAGCCUGGGGCUACUUCAUAUCUCGUACCAAGGAGAGUGGGAAAGCGCUUCUUUGAAUUGCUGUAGGCAUUGAGAACAAGAAUUCAGGAAGCAAUCAGUCCUCCACUGCCUGCGACUGGUAAGAAAACCCCUUCAUUCUUUUCUUUCCUGCAUAGUUGCCUCUUUCUUUCUUUCUGUUCUGUACAAAUAUUGUUCUAAUUGAAAGACGCGAAGUUUACUGUUCUCUAACAAGACAUUGGUUAUCCUCAGCCCCACUCGGAGAAGCUUGUAUUUCUGUCUAUAUUCUCAUUUCCAGAACUAAAGAAGAAGACAACUCUCGGGCUUAUUAAAUGACUUUCUUAUUGCUUUAAUCUCUCGAACUCUUUAUUCUCCCUUUAUAUGACAUAUGACUUUUAGAGUGAAUUCCACAUCAGUGAGCGGAUACCAUCCUUUCUGACUAAGGCCUCCAGACAACAUACAAAGUUAGGACAUGAAAGGGUCCACGAAACUGCCCUAUUUCGACACCACGAAUAGGCAGUGAAGGGCCAUAAGAGAUCGUAUAGAUUUGCUUGCUCCACUUUCCGCUACUAGAUUGGGUGCCUUUCCUACAAUAGGGUUCGGGUAAUAUUAGUUCGUUUUACUGUGCUUAUAUCUAAAGGGUUCGGGUAAUAUUAGUUCGUUUUACUGUGCUUAUCUAUAACUCUCUAUUUGGCUACCUGUAAGUAUCACUUAACUGCAGUCUUUCUAAUUCAUUCAGCGGACUAUACUAAGAAUCCAAAGGGGCCCCCCUAGAAUCAUAUUAGGAAAGGAGCACUACGCAACACAUCAAUGAACGAGCCCGUGAUUUUCUCAUGUCCUAACUUCAACUAGUAAGCCGGAUCGAUCAGCUCGCUUUCAAUACAAGAGUCAGUUCUCUCCUUUCUUUAUUCCUGUCUAACCUAUCUUCAGUGAGAGCCGCGCCAAUGCAUAUGCUUUCCAAGUGAGAGUUGGAGCUGAGGGCGUUAGUGAGCGGGCAGCCCGUUCAAAGCCGAUACUUUCUGCUUUUCUUCCUCCCAGCGGUGUCCUCUCCUUUCAACAAAGUGCGAUGCUGGAGCCUAUUUAUGGAAAAGCUAACGUGGUCCCCUCCCACUGAGAUUCGAUUCCCUGUCAAUAAUCCAGUUUUGGCAGUUCUAUUAAGAGCUGAUGGAAACUGUGCAAGAGGAGAAAGGAAGUAAGCCUGCAGCCUGGUAAAGACAAGAUUGCUUGGAUUUGAGUGUGACUCCCUUUUUGACUAUCUGCACAAUCACAGACGCGUCACUUGCCUUAAACCACCUUCGGGCUGAUCAGAUUCAAGCACCAUAUCUUAUAGAAUUCCAUAAUGCUUAUAUAAUUCCGGAACUCUCUUCUUUAAGAAAAGACUCGCUCUGACGCUGGCUUUGGUAUGAAAAACACUUCUUCGUUUUCUUUUGUUUUGUAUGAUUGGAUUUGCUUAGUAACAGCAUCAAUAGUGGAGCUGUGAAAAGAGACUUGAUUCCUUUCCGGAGUCCAGGAUAUAGAGAAUCCAAUCUAGAAAGAGUUGCCGAAACCGGUGCUACACCAAAGCUACAAUUUGAAUGAAGCGAGGCCAAGCAACGACUAGUAUAAUGAGUUUCAUACCGACCCGAGUGGAAUCUGUUCUCUUAUAUAAGGUAGAAUUCCUGUUGUCAUGUUUUUCAAUGUACUUCCGUACUUAUAGCUUCCUAGCCCGCCUGUCGAACAUCUGCUUGUACUAGUCCUAUAUUAUCGAUUGACUCAUGCCCUAUAUUCUCUAUUUAUUCUUUGCUUAACACAAGCACCCGAGCCUAACUCGUAUACAAGGGGAAAGCCCGAAACUUCUUAUAUAGGCCUCUACUGUUACUACGCCGUUCCAUUCUGAGUCUACUUACCUAGAUGCGGGGGCCAAGCUUAUACAUUGAGUGGAGACUACUGGUUUUCUGACUUAAAUAAGUUUGCUUACCUAGUGCUCCGGCUCGCUAACGAGUGACGAACCCUGCUGGCUAGCUCUGCUGGCUACUUACUAUAUUACUAAUUAUGAUCAGAGGAUUCCGUUUCUUCUCCAACUAAUUAUGAUCAGAGGAUUCCGUUUCUUCUCCAAGUCCUGUGCCCUUAAGUCAUUUUGUGUACGAGCUUAACUACCAAAUUUACAUUACCCUCAUUGCUUUUGACACUACCCUCAUAGCUUCACACUAGUGGUGACUUGUUGGGUUUACAGCACAAUCCGUUUCAUCUUAUACAGAAUCCGUGGGUUCAAGUGAGGAAGCCGAGGUAGGUUUUUGUUGACGCAAGUUCCACUUUAAGGAUAGUUCGGUACAGUACAGUGUUGAGCCGAGCAGUAGGGCAAUCCUCAUGCCAAAGAUCUUUUUCUUCCAUUUUCUCUUCUGCUCUGCGUGAAAAUCUUCUCAGAUCUUAUCUUCUGCGCUCGAUAAGCAAAGAAAUGAAUAUGAAUGUUUUCCCUCUUCGGAGCUAGACUCAGUGCUAAAGGGAGUUGGGGCAAUUCCUAAGAAAGAUAUAUGCGCAAAAGAGAGAGACUCAAUUACUGUUAACUCGGUGCUCGACUAAGCACAACAGUGUCAGUGAAUUCUUUGACUUCCGCUUAUGUAAGUUGACAAUUCCAAUCUUAUAUGCGGCGCUCUAAGGGGGAGUAUUUGCAAGAGGGCGAGAAGCAGAGGUCGGGCAAGUCACUCUUAGAAACCGCCGCAACAAGGCCUUAGCAACCCGGUCAACUCUCUUCUUAUCAAGCAGAGGCAGUGGAGGCAGUAUACAGUAAGGAAGCAGCAAGUAGUUCCUAAACUUGAGUGAGAAAGCAAGCAACAAUCGAUUCCUUAAGUCGAGGCACUAUCUAAUUUCUCGCUAACAAGAAUACUCUACUGAUUGACUUAUCGCUCGUACGAGUAUGGGCGGGCCCUGUUCUUCACACUUCUUAUACUUCAAAGAAAGCCACUUAAGGAUAACGUUUCGAAAGAAAAGAGACCGGGCAACUAAACGACAAGCAGGGGCAAGGGCCAGGGAAGAAAGAUAACAUCUAUUUGAAUUGAAUGAAAACAGACUGAUGAAACUAGUAGAGGCGAGGUAUCUUCCGCAGUGGGGUAUUUCGGAAACAACUAUCAAUCAGGUCUUACAGCUACCCGGCACCCGAAACAAGACUAGAAACUAAACAAGUCACUACUUUACCUAAACUCAGAUAAGGCAGCUAAGCUAGGAAGGAGAAAGUUAGUCAAGUCUCUUUCCAUACUCUUUUUGUAUAGUAGUUACUUGUUGAGUCCACAAACACUUAAUUGAAUCUCACUGAUGCUGAUGUUCUAUAAUCCAAAAA
rnacentral:lncRNA from 1 species